AACGAACGCUGGCGGCAUGCCUAACACAUGCAAGUCGAACGAGACCUUCGGGUCUAGUGGCGCACGGGUGCGUAACGCGUGGGAACCUGCCCUUAGGUUCGGAAUAACUCCCCGAAAGGGGUGCUAAUACCGGAUAAUGUCUUCGGACCAAAGAUUUAUCGCCUUUGGAUGGGCCCGCGUUGGAUUAGCUAGUUGGUAGGGUAAAAGCCUACCAAGGCGACGAUCCAUAGCUGGUCUGAGAGGAUGAUCAGCCACACUGGGACUGAGACACGGCCCAGACUCCUACGGGAGGGCGGAGUGGGGAAUAUUGGACAAUGGGCGAAAGCCUGAUCCAGCAAUGCCGCGUGAGUGAUGAAGGGCUUAGGGUUGUAAAGCUCUUUUACCCGGGAUGAUAAUGACAGUACCGGGAGAAUAAGCUCCGGCUAACUCCGUG
rnacentral:rRNA from 1 species